rnacentral:rRNA from 1 species
GACGAACGCUGGCGGCGUGCUUAACACAUGCAAGUCGAACGAAGUGGCGAACGGGUGAGUAAUACGUGAGUAACCUGCCCUCCUUUUUGGGAUAAGCUUUGGAAACGGGGUCUAAUACCGACUACAGGGGGUUGGGCCCGCGGCCUAUCAGCUUGUUGGAGGGGUGAUGGCCUACCAGGGCGGUGACGGGUAGCCGGCCUGAGAGGGUGACCGGGCACAUUGGAACCGGGAUACAGCCCUGACUGCUGCAGGAGGCGGCAUUGGUGGAGAAUGGACGAUAGGCGAAUGCCGGAUGGAGCGGUGCCGGGUGGAGGAUGAAGGCUUUCGGGUUGUAAACCGCUUUGACGAACGAACGGGUAGGUGGAGAAGAAGCGCCGGCUAACUACGUGCCAGCAGCCGCGGUAAUAC